UACGUAGGGUGCAAGCGUUGUCCGGAAUUAUUGGGCGUAAAGAGCUCGUAGGCGGUCCGUCACGUCGGCUGUGAAAACCCGGGGCUCAACCCCGGGCCUGCAGUCGAUACGGGCGGACUAGAGUUCGGCAGGGGAGACUGGAAUUCCUGGUGUAGCGGUGAAAUGCGCAGAUAUCAGGAGGAACACCGGUGGCGAAGGCGGGUUGCUGGGCUGACACUGACGCUGAGGCGCGAAAGCUAGGGGAGCGAACGGG
rnacentral:rRNA from 1 species